GCACCAGAUCCAGACUAACACGGCUACCCCUCUGAUACAAUUAAUUGACAGUGUCUCCAAGCCUAAUAAGCAAGGUGACUCUUCACCAGCACUGUGUGUAAUAAACUCCUAUGCUUGACCUCUAUACGGUGUGGAUUUAUGUCCUUCAGUUUGGGGGCUUGUCGGGAUUCAAGCUUGUGAACUGGCUGAGGAUCUGAGACUGAAAUCCAAAAGAGGUGAACAACAAGAGGUGAAGGAGGAAGAAUUGAAGGGUGACCAGGACAACCAGAGAGACCAUAGGGAGGCUCCUGCUAUGUCUCCUGCUGUCCCUGUGGUGAUGAGGAAGGAUGCAAGUAGUGUGCCAUGUGAAAAGGAGGACUGGAAAUGAGUCACUAACCUCCCUCCUCCAGGUUCAAAGUGGCCAUCACUGAGAAACUGGCGCACACGGAGCUGGUCCAAAUGAAUGGUACCUACCAGUGUGUGAUUGCCCAGAACCACUCCAUUGAGCUAAAUGGAAAGCCCUGUUCCUCGAGACAUCCGUCCGUGUGCAUAACAGUCCCUUGAAGGUCAACCCUGAUGGUUGAUGGGAUGCAGCUCCACCAUACUCCGCCAAUGAUGGGUAACUUAACAUGGGAUCCGGAAUAGCACUAUGCAGUUAGUAUCUAGAGGAGGGUCUACUGGCCCUGCAGGCGAAAAUCGAGGAGUUGGUGGCCGAGGCCCAGAGGCAUAUUGGGGAAGGCCGUCUGAGGUACACUCAGAUAGGGGAAACUGUGGACCAGGCCGAUGUGAAGUACUCGAAGGCGCGGAACAGGCGGUGAAGGUUAAAGCAAUAAUUAUGGGCAAUGCAAUCUCAGCCCUAGGAAUGUAUCUGCUGGACAAUCAGAGGAGCUACCCAUUCCUAUGGAUCCCAUAUCAGAAUUCAACAUAUAUAUUUUAUACUAACAUUUUAUCAAAGUAUUAAUUAAAUGUUAACUUGCUAACUUGAGACCACGGGUGGAAGCAUUAUGUAACCUAUUAACCAUUGGCUACUGUGCUAUUUUGUCUUGCUGCAAAACCUAUCCUGGGGUGUGGAACUGCCUACCCCGUCACUUUCCCCCACCCAUGGAAAAUCUAUAUAUUCUAUUGUAAUCAAUUGAUUGACAGUGUCUCAGAGCCUAAUAAGCAAGGUGACACUGCCAGCACUGUGUGUAAUAAACUCCUAUGCUUGACCUCUACACGGUGUGGAUUUAUGUCCUUCACCAGAGAAAGGAACAUUGAUGUUCCUUGUAGCUACACAUCAGCAGUGGCUCUCACAGGUCAGUGUAGAUGAAGCUGGGGUUGUCCAUGCAUUGCCCUAGUGUGGAGUGGUAGUGGUAGGUGUGCUAUCCCUGAGGCCAUGAGGAAUGCUGCAGUUCUCCACAGACAGCAAUGAGAGUUGAGCCCAGAAUUCAUGAACCUAGAGGUCCACAAGAGUCUGCAGCAUCUGAGUUUGCUGACGGAGAAGCCCCAUUAUAGUCUGGGGCAUCUCCCUCUCCUUUUCCCGGGCCUUUCUCCUCUCCACUCUUCUUCUCCAUAUAGUCUCCAAUAUUCCCCCUACAGGCCCUCUGUCCAAGGCUGGAUGCAGCAAUGGGCUUGCAGCAUCUUGCAGGACAAGUCCUCCCAUGUCCUCUUUUUUCUCCUCAUCUGAGACAGUCAUUCCACAGUCCAUACCCCGCAAGGCCACAAUGGCUGCAGCUACAGAUAAAACACAGCAAAGGUACUAUUGUCAGUAGAGUAGGAACAGAAAGCUAAACUUAAGAUUCAGAACUCCCCCCUUCCCUUGCUUCCCUAAAAUAUUAAACAAGACAAGCUUAUUGACACUCGUGCUUUGGAGUUCUUGAUUCCUGGUGCCGCACUCAGCUCAAGCCACAGUGAGUGUGGCCCACUGGGGUCAUGGGAAUGAGAAGGGAAUUAAUCAGUUGAAUAACAUUAUAAAUAUAAGGCAAUGGCACUGAAUACUAGCACCAUUUUCCACAAGUGGUGAUGGUUUUAGCUGAUCUAUCACCCCUGGGGGUAACAAAGGAGCAAAGAGCACAGCUGCUGCUGGGGUCUCAAAGGUGUCUGGGCCUAUAUGCUACUAGCCGGUGUACUGCAAUAGUGUCUGCUGAAGUUGUUGCUGACUGGCAUGGGAAAGUGUCCUACCAUGGAAGAAGAAAUAAGGCUGUGAUCCUUAGAAACUUUCAGGAGAGAAUUGCAGUGAACUUCCUUGGAAGUUUCAUUGAGGAUUCAAAGGACAUCUCUGUGUACAGAAACAAAGUAAUCAGCA